rnacentral:rRNA from 1 species
GGGAUUGCCCUAGUAACGGCGAGUGAAGCGGCAACAGCUCAAAUUUGAAAUCUGGCCCCUCCGGGGUCCGAGUUGUAAUUUGUAGAGAGUGUUUCGGGGGAGACCACGGUCUAAGUCUAUUGGAACAUUACGUCAUAGAGGGUGAGAACCCCGUAUGCGACCGUGGCUCGAGCCCAUGUGAAGCCUCUUCGACGAGUCGAGUUGUUUGGGAAUGCAGCUCAUAAUGGGUGGUAAAUUUCAUCUAAAGCUAAAUAUUGGCUGGAGACCGAUAGCGCACAAGUAGAGUGAUCGAAAGAUGAAAAGCACUUUGGAAAGAGAGUCAAACAGUACGUGAAAUUGUUGAAAGGGAAGCGCUGGCAACCAGACCUGUCCGUAGGCGAUCAGCUGCUGUUCUCAGCGGUGCACUCGUUCUGCGAUCAGGCCAGCAUCGGUUUCGGCGGUCGGAUAAAGACCCGGGGAACGUAGCUCCCUCUCGGGGGAGUGUUAUAGCCCCGGGCGCAAUGCGGCCAGCCGGGACCGAGGACCGCGCAUUUAUGCUAGGAUGCUGGCGUAAUGGUUGUCAGCGACCCGUCUUGAAACACGGACCAAGGAGUCUAACAUUUAUGCGAGUGUUUGGGUGUCAAACCCAUGCGCGGAAUGAAAGUGAACGGAGGUGAGAACCCUUUAGGGCGCAUCAUCGACCGAUCCAGAAGUUUACGGAUGGAUUUGAGUAUGAGCAUAACUGUUGGUACCCGAAAGAUGGUGAACUAUGCCUGAAUAGGGUGAAGCCAGAGGAAACUCUGGUGGAGGCUCGCAGCGGUUCUGACGUGCAAAUCGAUCGUCAAAUUUGGGUAUAGGGGCGAAAGACUAAUCGAACCAUCUGUAGCUGGUUCCUGCCGAA